rnacentral:tRNA from 1 species
GGCCGAAUGGUGUAGUUGGUUAUCACGUAUCCUUAACAUUAUCGAAAGCUACGGAUAAGGUCCUGAGUUCGAGCCUCAGUUUGGUCA